AUCCAAGCCGAACGGUAACCAAUCUCCUCCCUUCUUCCAGCAAUGAUGCCAACAGCCGACUUAUUGACAAAGAAGAGGUAGACGGUUGUUGUUUCUGCUGAUUGUGAAAGGUUUAGCGUCGAAGGUAUUAUUUGGUAGAUUUCUAGAUUUUUUGGUUUCCUUUUUUAGCUGAAACACGAAUUUGUGGUGAACGUGAAAAGGGAUCUCUUUUAGCCGGUGUACGUAUGUGAAGAACUCUUGAAUCUCCCGUCAUAGUCACGUACAAUAAUUCGACAUAAUUGCAAAUUGGCGUCAUCUGAAGCACCGAGGCAUCGCAGAGAAUUCCAAUCCUCCUUCAAAAGGUAAGUUUUCUGACAAAACAUGCAGUAUUAUGACUGGGACAGAUGAGGAAAGACGAUGACUAAAGUCGAAAUGACUGGGUAGAAAGUUACAAGUUCAUUUGGUUGCAAAUGCAUAUGAGAUUAACAGGUAUAAGCAUAAAAAGCCAAAUUCAUCAAAUGGUACAACAAAGAUCAGGCAA